rnacentral:misc_RNA from 1 species
GAUGAAGAACGUAGCGAAACGCGAUAUGUAAUGUGAAUCGCAGAAUUCAGUGAAUCAUCGAAUCUUUGAACGCACAUGGCGCCUUCCAGUAUCCUGGGAGGCAUGCCUGUCCGAGCGUCGUUUCAACCCUCGAGCCCCCGUGGCCCGGCGUUGGGGAUCUGCCCAGGCAGUCCCCGAAAACCAGUGGCGGACCCGUUACAGGCCCUUCCCUUGCGUAGUAGCAUUCGCCUCGCAUCGGGAGCCGGCGGGCUUCCAGCCUCUAAACCCCCAUCAAGUCCGCCCCGGCGGCACCAAGGUUGACCUCGGAUCAGGUAGGAAUACCCGCUGAACUUAAGCAUAUCAAUAAGCGGAGGA